AUACGAAGGGCCCAAGCGUUAAGCGGAAUCACUGGGCUUAAAGGGUGCGUAGGCGGAACAGUAAGUACUUUGUGAAAUCCCACGGCUCAACCGUGGAAGUGCAAGGUAUACUGCUGUUCUUGAGGUCGGUAGAGGUAACCGGAACUGUAGGUGUAGCGGUGAAAUGCGUAGAUAUCUACAGGAACACCAAUGGAGAAGUCAGGUUACUGGGCCGAUUCUGACGCUGAGGCACGAAAGCGUGGGGAGCAAACAGGAUUAGAAACCCCUGUAGUCC
rnacentral:rRNA from 1 species